AAACAUCUGCAGGCCGGGUGGCUGCCUGAACUUCCCAAGCAGUCAGUGGGGCUGUAUGACAGCAGCAAAGAGAUCCCCGGUCUCAGUAAGAAACAUUUCUGCUGACAACUUCACAAUGAUUCCCCCUCUUCCUGUCACAGAAGAAAUACUUCUGAGCCUGAGGACAGCCAACCAGUAACUGCAGCAGGGAUGUGACUACAGAAAACCACUUGUGCUUGUCUCCUGGGAGCUCCCACAGCCCUGCGGAUGAUCUUUCGACAUCCACCAGUCAGGAAGUCCUUAGAGUACAAACUUCUUGGCUCAGACACUGUACAGCUCGGUGCCAUGUGUCCUGUUGGGCCAUAGUGAAUGGGAAAUGGCAUCUGGAAAGGCUAUAAACUUGACUGUGCAGGAGUUGGUGGCACUGAAGGUGGGACCCUGGGAUCCCCAGGUUUCUGCAGUUUACUACAGCCCUCACUGGUGAGUGAAAAGGUGGAGACCGUGCUUUCCAGCGCAAUCCAUGUGGCACCUUUGGCCACUGCUGAAACUGUCUGCAUGAAAGCACACAAGCAGAUUUCAUCUUGUGAGCCUUUGGGACGGAACAAUUGAUUGAGGAUCUGAAGGACAUCUAGUUCAAGGCCACCCAGAAUUCAGUAGCUGCCUGUUGUUGGUACAGCUCUUAAGAUGUGGCUCUUAUGCUCAAGAAGGUGGGACAUCGGACAUGUGCUAUGUGUACUUCAGCUGUCUGUGUAAGCAGCUUCCUCUAAUCCACACAACAAGCCCUUAAAC
rnacentral:lncRNA from 1 species